GCCGGGAUGGUGGAAUUGGCAGACACAACAGACUUAAAAUCUGUCGGGCUUCGGUCCAUGCCGGUUCAAGUCCGGCUCUCGGCA
rnacentral:tRNA from 1 species